rnacentral:rRNA from 1 species
AGUGAACGCUGGCGGCAGGCCUAACACAUGCAAGUCGAACGGAAGCACAGUAAGAGCUUGCUCUUACGGGUGGCGAGUGGCGGACGGGUGAGGAAUACAUCGGAAUCUACCUUUUCGUGGGGGCUAACGUAGGGAAACUUACGCUAAUACCGCAUACGACCUACGGGUGAAAGCAGGGGAUCUUCGGACUUUGCGCGAUUGAAUGAGUCGAUGUCGGAUUAGCUAGUUGGCGGGGUAAAGGCCCACCAAGGCGACGAUCCGUAGCUGGUCUGAGAGGAUGAUCGACCACACUGGAACUGAGACACGGUCCAGACUCCUAGGGAGGGCAGCGGUGGGGAAUAUUAGACAAAGGGCGCAAGCCUGAUCCAGCCAUACCGCGUGGGUGAAGAAGGCCUUCGGGUUGUAAAGCCCUUUUGUUGGGAAAAAAAAGCAGCUGGUUAAUACCGCGCUGUUCUGACGGUACCCAAAGAAAAAGCACCGGCUAACUUCGUG